rnacentral:rRNA from 1 species
UACGUAGGGGGCAAGCGUUGUCCGGAAUCAUUGGGCGUAAAGAGCGCGUAGGCGGCCCGAUAAGUCCGCUGUGAAAGUCCAGGGCUCAACCCUGGGAUGCCGGUGGAUACUGUCGGGCUCGAGUCCGGAAGAGGAGUGUGGAAUUCCUGGUGUAGCGGUGAAAUGCGCAGAUAUCAGGAGGAACACCAAUUGCGAAGGCAGCUCGCUGGGACGUUACUGACGCUGAGACGCGAAAGCGUGGGGAGCAAACAGG